UGUGGACAGGGUGGUCAACCUGGACCUCCAGGACUUCCGGGGCCAAAGGGAGAGUCCAUCAUCGGUCCUUCAGGGCCCCAGGGCCCUCCAGGUAACCCAGGAAGAGAGUACGAAGGCAGGCAAGGGAACCCAGGCCCACCGGGGCCCCCCUGACUUCAGGAUCAUCCUCCUCACCUGGAGCCUACAGGCCAACACAGACCAUCAGCAUCCCUGGACCUCCGGGCCCUCCUGGCCCACCUGGAACUGAUGGACACUCCUCUGGGGUGAUGGUGCUGAGGUCAUAUGACACGAUGACAGCCACAGCCAGACGACAGGCAGAGGGGACGUUGGUGUAUCUGGUCGACCAAACAGACUUUUACAUCAGAGUACGAGAUGGCUUCCGGCAAAUCCAGCUUGGACCACACAUAGCUUUACCCC